UUUGGCCACAGGGAGCCAUUAUUGGUUGUUAAAUUGUUAUCCAUACAUUAUACCCUUUGCACAUAAUAUGCCAUAUUUCCUAACCGGGUUUUAAAAAUUAGUAACGCGUUUAAGAGUAGCGGGGUAACGGUUACAUAUUUCUGUAAAUAUUAUUUGUUUACUUUAACAUGGGACGGUAAAUAGCUAUGAAAUACACGUUCUAUCUUACCGCAACCUACACUACAAAUGCCCGGGGAGAAAAGAAAUAUAGGAAACAAAAUCGGGAACACUUUAGUUGAUUACCCCCGCUUUUCGUUGAUUAAUCCUUGGGUAUAAAACAGCAACCUUACAACGCGGGUUCUUUACACGACGUGGCAGCUUGGAUCAAGUUUGUUCUGCACCAGAUUGGAAUUAUAUUUCAAGAUAUAAGUUAAGUACUUCUUUAUUAUUAAACUAUAAUAACAUAUGACAGCAGUUAUUAUAAAUCCUAAUACUUAUUCUACACAGUAUUCCAUUACAAUACAUUUCAUCUUAAUAGGAUUAUUUAACAUACUAACAUUAUUUAAUUAAAGUAUUGUGCCUUGCGCAUAACUUAACGUUUUAGUUUCUUAUUCGAUUCUUAUUUUUGCAGAUUCGCGACGUAUCGUUAUUACGUCACUAUACGUCAGUCGCGACGUGACGUCACCGAUUUAGCUUCCGUUGCGUCAUAAUUGAUUUUGUUACAUUAGUAGCGAGUCGGGUCGUCGCCGCGUCGUUAUCGCUUCUUAUUACUACGUCAUCGUUACGUCAAACUCGUUUAGUGCAGUGUUGGUUUGACGACGUCACAAUGCGGUUUACUUAUGCGCAUGCGCUUCGUGACUUUUUAUAAUGGGGCCCCAUGCGCGUUUUGCGUCGGCGUAAGGCACAUUACUUGUAUAUUAUAAUUUUAUUUGCGCCAUGAGCGUGAAGAAAGAAGAUCAAAAGAAUUGGUAAAGUAUAGUUACAAUUGGCAUUAUUACGUACACGAGUUUUUUUUAUAGAAACAUCGAUGAUGUGACGUCACGGAGUGGUGAUGAUGCAACAGAAGAACCCACUUCAAUAUGGUAUGUGAUGUCACAGAGGAACAACCUGGAUCGUCACGAGCGAAAGCAAGAACAAAGAAAAGUCGGCGAAUUAAGCUGCAGAAGGAAAGCGCAAGACGAAGAACAAAGAUGAAGACGCCAAUAUAGGAUAAAUGGUUUGGCGUUUAAAGUAUAUUAUGUGUGUGUUCGUAUGUGUGAGCGUGUUAACUGGUACACCCUUAACAGUGUUGCCUUUAAAAAGAUCCCUUAUCUGCUGGACCUAGUGUUGCCAGCUGUUUUUGUCAGUCACUACUAUAGUGCAUUUUGCAAGUCACUAAAAUAUAUGCAUUGAAACUAUGGCGAACAUCUUGCUGGAUCAGAUUUUGUUGUUGUACACUCUAUUGUGUACUUCGUCUACAAAGGUCGAAUCUUUCAACGAUUCCGUAUUGUCCUAAUCGCUUGAUAAGGAAGCUUUGUUGGUACACAUAUACUCGAGUAAUAUUGACACGCCGUAUAAUAUGCGCAUAAAAUAAACAGUAUCCAUUUUAUUGUUAUGAUAUAAUGUAUAACCAUCACCAUGAGACUAAUGUUUACAAUAAAGCGUCGUGUAGCGUGAUUGGGGCGAUGGCCACGUCACAGUUACGCUACGACGUCGAUACGGUGGGUCAGAGCAGUGUCAUGACCCCGCGUUCGGUGCGGUUACGUAAGUUUUGAAUUGAGUUACGUCACGGUCGGGUUGUUGCGUGGACGUCGCCGCCAGUGAUGCUACGCUCGGAUAUUUAGGUCACUGUCAAUGCGGUUCGUAACAACCUGGCGCAGUUUCGUAACGGUCGAUGCGGUGCGUAACAUCCGGACGUUAUUAUAUUGUGUGAAAA